UUUGACCAUGGCUCAAGACGAACGCUGGCGGCGUGCCUAAUACACGCAAGUAGAACGCUGAAAGGAGGAGCUUGCUUCUCCGGACGAGUUGCGAACGGGCGAGUAACGCGUAGGUAACCCGCCCGGUAGCGGGGGAUAACUAUUCGGAAACGAUAGCUAAUACCGCAUAAGAAGUAGAUGUUCGCAUGACGUUCGCUUUAAAAGGUGCAAUUCGCAUCACUACCAGAUGGACCUGCGUUGUAUUAGCUAGUUGGUGGGGUAACGGCUCACCAAGGCGACGAUACAUAGCCGACCUGAGAGGGUGAUCGGCCACACUGGGACUGAGACACGGCCCAGACUCCUACGGGAGGCAGCAGUAGGGAAUCUUCGGCAAUGGACGGAAGUCUGACCGAGCAACGCCGCGUGAGUGAAGAAGGUUUUCGGAUUCGUAAAGCUCUGUUUGUAAGAGAAGAACGAGUGUGAGAGUGGAAAGUUCACACUGUGACGGUAUCUUACCAGAAAGGGACGGCUAACUACGUGCCAGCAGCCGCGGUAAUACGUAGGUCCCGAGCGUUGUCCGGAUUUAUUGGGCGUAAAGCGAGCGCAGGCGGUUAGAUAAGUCUGAAGUUAAAGGCUGUGGCUUAACCAUAGUACGCUUUGGAAACUGUUUAACUUGAGUUGCAAGAGGGGAGAGUGGAAUUCCAUGUGUAGCGGUGAAAUGCGUAGAUAUAUGGAGGAACACCGGUGGCGAAAGCGGCUCUCUGGCUUGUAACUGACGCUGAGGCUCGAAAGCGUGGGGAGCAAACAGGAUUAGAUACCCUGGUAGUCCACGCCGUAAACGAUGAGUGCUAGGUGUUAGACCCUUUCCGGGGUUUAGUGCCGCAGCUAACGCAUUAAGCAUUCCGCCUGGGGAGUACGACCGCAAGGUUGAAAACUCAAAAGGAAUUGACGGGGGCCCGCACAAGCGGUGGAGCAUGUGGUUUAAUUCGAAGCAAACGCGAAGAACCUUACCAGGUCUUGACAUCCCUCUGACCGCUCUAGAGAUAGAGUUUUCCUUCGGGACAGAGGUGACAGGUGGUGCAUGGUUGUCGUCAGCUCGUGUCGUGAGAUGUUGGGUUAAGUCCCGCAACGAGCGCAAACCCCUAUUGUUAGUUGCCAUCAUUCAGUUGGGCACUCUAGCGAGACUGCCGGUAAUAAACCGGAGGAAGGUGGGGAUGACGUCAAAUCAUCAUGCCCCUUAUGACCUGGGCUACACACGUGCUACAAUGGCUGGUACAAACGAGUCGCAAAGCCGGUGAACGGCGAAGCUAAUCUCUUAAAGCCAGUCUCAGUUCGGAUUGUAGGCUGCAAACUCGCCCAACAUGAAAGUCGGAAAUCGCUAGUAAUCGCGAAUCAGCACGCCGCGGUAAAUACGUUCCCGGGCCUUGCACACACCGCCCGUCA
rnacentral:rRNA from 1 species